UUUGCCCCAUACCCCAAUUAUUGCAAGAAAGUGCUGAGAAAAUAUUCACUAUUUUAAUAUGUCAAAGUCAGAGCAGAGCACUGUCCAUGAUUUGGUUAGUUGAACGUAGACGUUUUCCAUACAGCCACAGUAGGCAAAUAUAGAUAAAACGGUCGCUGUUUAAAUCUGUUUAUUGUAAUGACUUGAUCACAAAAGUGAACUAAAAGUUGGUACUGUCAGACCUAUCUGUAUCUUUAUUCUUCACCGCUUCACGAAGUAAACACUAAAUGUUUGUGUAUUACUUCUAAACAUUAGUAGUUUCGUUAAGCAGUAAUGCGGGAAGUGUAAUCGCUUCUGCAGCUGACAGGGGUCCAUCAGAAGGCGAGUCGUCAGAAAUGCAUCUACUUUUAGAAGAUGGUGCCUACAAAAACAUACAAGUCGGCUAGAAAAACAUUCAUCGCAUUUUUCUGUCAAGAAACAUACAUCACAUUCUUGGCCCCCCUAUUCCCGCUUGUUCCUCACGGAAUAGAAACGGAGCUCGUCGGGCUCAUCGUCUGACGCUCAGUUGCACUUGGCCUUCAUGUAUCAUCAAGGAAAGUCACGGCUAAUCGCAAGUUCAACUUUGCUCAGCAAAGAUGUCCAACUUCCCAAAGACACUGUUGAUAUCAGCAUACAGGAAUGAAGACUUCGGUGGCGCGAUGUUACGUUUUAGGGUUGAGGUAUGCCAGAGGCAGCAUUUGAGCCAAGUAUGGAUUGCAACACUCGAGCUUCUAAGACCAACAUGCUGUACAUGCUACUUGCUACUUCCGGAUGGCAGGCAUCAGCGGUGAUUCUCGAGUUUCUGAUGUCGCAAAUGGCAAAGUAAGUUUUUUCUACGUGGAGUUUUGUAAUAUCAGAUUCUACUAUUACAAAUUAGAUGAUGUCCACGCCUUCUAGUCUUGCCACUUGUUUAGUCUUUAUGGUAGCAAUAUCUACCCCAUCCCAACCGAAAAAGGGACAAAUUUGCUAACCAGCACUGAACAAAUC